GUAGUCCACGCGGUAAACGAUGAAUGCUAGGUGUAGGGGGUAUCGACCCCUCCUGUGCCGGAGUUAACACAAUAAGCAUUCCGCCUGGGGAGUACGGCCGCAAGGUUGAAACUCAAAGGAAUUGACGGGGGCCCGCACAAGCAGCGGAGCAUGUGGUUUAAUUCGAAGCAACGCGAAGAACCUUACCAGGUCUUGACAUCGAUUGAAUCCAUAGAGAUAUGGAGUGCCCUUCGGGGAGCAAGAAGACAGGUGGUGCAUGGUUGUCGUCAGCUCGUGUCGUGAGAUGUUGGGUUAAGUCCCGCAACGAGCGCAACCCUUAUGAUCAGUUACUAACGGGUAAUGCCGAGGACUCUGAUGAGACUGCCGGGGACAACUCGGA
rnacentral:rRNA from 1 species